CCACAUGUCACCAUUCUAGGCAACUCUAAGAAGGAUUUACACAGAUCUUCAUCUAUUCACAUAUAUAUGGAAUUCCAUCUUAUAAUGAUUCUCAAUGAACUUGCAGGUCUGGUAUUCCAGAUGGCCAGCCAAAAUUGUUGCUUUCUCUGAUCCCAGACUACCCAUUGUUGAAUUUUAUGCUCACUACUUCCAUAUACGUUGCAAUUUCUUAUAGACUCUUUGAACUGACAAAUACAUUGAAAAUAGCAUUUGUGCCCGGUAAAGACAGCAAGCGCCUUAUCUCCAACACAGUGACUGCAGUAGCAGUCUCAAGCAUUUUAUACUCCUUGUCUUUUGCAUUCCUAAAAGUCCCACGAAUGUUGGUUUGAGCAUUGAAAUGGGUAAAUAUAGUAUACAAGGCCACCGGCUUCUGGAACUGAGUACUUUUUCCACUGCCUGAGUUUUCAUCUCCAUGGCAAAAUCCUAUUGAGAAAUGAAAUCUAAAUUAUAGGAGUGUUUGAUCAGUGUUAACUUGUAAUUAUAUUUCUCAUUUUCUUUUUCUUUUUUUUUAUAAUGGAGCAUUGUAUCCGAAUGACCGCACCUAAUGGCAUUCUCAUCAAAUUAUAUUAGACCA